AAAAGAUUUCAACAUUUUCUGUUUCAGCUUUUAUUUUCCCCAGCAGUCUCGAGAAACAAACAGAGGUUUAACAAGGACAAAAACCACAACACUUAACAUCGAGCAUAAAAAUAACAGUGAGAAACAACUGGAAAAGAAAAGAAAAGAAUCUGAAAGAAAAUAAACCAAGUUAAUUACUGAAAUCUUGAAAACAAUGAAUAGCUUAUAAAAUAGAAUAAAUUAAUAGAUGUACCUGCUUAG
rnacentral:misc_RNA from 1 species